NNNNUUUUAUUAUUAUUAUUAUUAUUACCUGUUUUAUUAUUAUUAUUAUUACCAGUGUUAUUAUUAUUAUUAGUGCCAUUUUCUAUGUCAUUAUUAUGGUUAUAUUUUUUCAUUACUCUUGUUUUGUUGAUAUAUGUUAAAGUAGUACCUAUACCAGUUUGAACUGCUUGUCUAUUUGGAGUUUUUCCAUUUAAAUUUUUCUCGUUUGUACUGUCAUUUGUUAAUUCUUUUAAGUCUGUAUAUUGAACACUGCCCUUUUUUUGAAUAUAAUUAUUUUUUAACUCAUUUACGUCUGUGUGUUUGUUUCUACUUUUUUUUUUUAAAUGACUAUUUUUUUUAUGUAACUCUUUCAGUUCAUCAUAUUUUUCAAACAUUUGUGUUUUUGUUGUGUCAUAUAGAUUGGUCAAGUUUGGAUAAUAUUCGUCAGAUGAAGAAGAUUGUUUAGUAUUAUGAUCAUUUUGAUUAGUAACAAAAUCUGAAUAAAAAUUAUUUGUUUGAUCUGUUUUACAACUUUUUAGACUUAUAAAAUUUUGAUUAAAUAUUUCAUUUUCUUUUUUUAAAAAUUUAUUUUCAUUUUGUAAUGAUGUAAUUUUUUUUUUUUUUUUUCUGAUUUGUUCAUUUAAAUUUUCAUUUUGUUUAAUUAAUUGAUCAUUACUGAUAUUACAUUCUUGUAUAAACAUUUUUAAUGAGUUUAUUUUUUUUUCUAACAUUUCAUUUUUUUUUAUUACUUUUUUUUUAUUUAAUUCAAUUUCUUUUUUUUUAUUUAGUAACUCUUCAUAUACAUUUUUUACUAACAAUAUAUCAUUAAGCAUGUUUUCAAUAUUUUCUUUUUGUUCGUUAAUAUUUUUAUUUAGUUCAAUUAUAUCUGUUUCAUGUUUUUUUAUUUCAUUUUUUAAUUUUUCGUUUUUAUUUUUUUCUUCGUUUAAUUCUUUUUUUAAUUGUUCUUUAUCAUUGUUUAAACAAUCUAUUUGUUUUUUAUGUUCUUUUAUAUUUUCUCUGAAAGUAUUAAUCGUGUCUUCUUUUUCUUUUCUCAUAGUGUUUAUUAACUCGUUUAGUUUUGCUAUUUUUUGUGUGGCUAUUUCCUCAUUCGCCUGUUUAUCGUUAUUUAUUUUCUUUAUUUCCUGUUCGUAUUUGUUUAUUUCCUGUUCGUAUUUGUUUAUUUCUUGUUCGUAUUUGUUUUUUUCAUUUUUGUAUUUGUUUAUUUCCUGCUCGUAUUGGAUUAUUUCAUUUUUAUAUUUGUUUUUCUCAUUUUCGAGCUCGUUUAUUUUAUUUUGUUGAUUAUUUAUUUGAUUAAAAUAUUCUUGAAUUUGUUCUUCAUAUGUACUUAUUUUUUCUCUAUCUUCUUUUAGUGUUAUUAUUUUAUUUUCGUAAUUAUUUUUUUGAUUAUCUAACUCAUUUGUUAAUGUGUCUAUUUUUUUUUUAAAAUAAGUUUCUUUUUCAUUAAUUUCAUUGUUUAAAAUAUCUAUACGUCUAUCGUAAGAUUGUUUUAUUUUAUCAACUUCGUCAUUGUAAAUAUUUUUUAAUUUUUCCAUCUCUUCUUUUAUAUCUUCUACACUCUUACUAAGUAUUUUAUUUUUUUCAUUUAACAUUUUAUUUUCUUCUUUUGUUAUAAUAUCAUUUUUUAAACAUUCUUCUAAUCUUAAUUUUAAUUUAUAUAUUGUACUUUGAUUUAUUAAUUUAGUAUUACUAUACAUUAUUGUGUCAUUAUUUUUAUACUUAUUUUUAUUAUCAUAAACAUUAUUUUUUAUUCUAUUAUUUAUUUUUGGUAUAUACCAUUCAGAAGUUGAGUUUGUAAAAUUAGAAAUUGCAAAAUUUGUCCUGACUGUGUCAUCAUUUUUAUUUUUUUCUCUUACUUGUUCUUCUGUUUUUUCUAAUAUUUGUUGUUCUUCUGUUUUUUCUUUUACUUUUUCUUCUGCUUGUUCUUUUACAUUUUCUUCUGUUCUCUCUCUUAUUUGUUCUUCUUUCUCUUUUAUUAAUAAUUUAUCUUUUUGUUUUUUUUCAUUACUAUCUGUGUCACUGUUUUCAUUGAAUAUGUCAAUAAAUUUUAAACGACAUUUUUUUUCGAUUUUGCU
rnacentral:lncRNA from 1 species